UAAACCGUGUCGUCUGGCUGCUCCAGGUACACCAGGAACUCCUCGAACCCCAGGAAUUCCAUAGCUUGCUGAACAUUGAGCCUUGAAAACGGAUGUUUAUUAAACCAAAAAUUUCUUCGACUCAUACUGACUCACAUCUACAACGGUUAACGAGUGCAUAAAAACAAGAGAAAUGGAAAUGCACCAGCGAUUCUCAAAUCAAAAGCCCCAACAGGUUGCUGAGUAUUGGCUCUUAACAAGAAGUAUAAAGCAUUUUAGCUAGACAUAUGUUUGACCAUGAAAGUUGUUAAAUGCACGAUCAUCAAUCAAAAACUUUAUUUUUUAUGUAAACGACACUCUCCUUUAUAUGAUCUAGAUAAUGCAUUCUAAAUAUCAGGUGCAUUACAGAAUAAUAAUUAGCACCACUCAACCAUAUAUAAUCCAGUUCUUCUAACACAGAAUUAGAGGAACAACACUAAAGUAAAUUUUUAUCAUUGCUACUGCACGUUCUUAAUCUAUUGACAGUAAGUUUAUUUUUACUUUGCAAUCCGUGUGAGUUACAUGCACGAGUGACAAUUAAAAAGACAAUUGUGAUUGCUUCAGGACAUCGUGCAGAUCACGCGUGUUUUUUGCUAAUUGGCGAAAUGAUUGGUUUAGGUUUCGGUGGAACUAUAAUGUGUUGAACUGUCAUUAAUAGAGUUCACUCAUCAAAGUCUAGAAGAGAAGUAAGUACGCAGCAUAAUAUUUAAGUCUCUUCACUUUAUUUUUGCCUAACGUGAUAGUUGUAUUUUUGGUAAUGCUACUGAUUUAUAAGCCAAUAUAGCUUUCAGGUUUGGAAUUGUUUAGGAAGUUGAACGGUAGAUUGUCGAAGCUCAUUUAAUA